AUUUUAAUCUAAAAAUUAUUUAACCUACUUAAAUCCAAGCCGAAUUCGUCUUCUUCUUUAUCGAGUCAGAAAUUCCGAAUUCGCCAAGAUCAAUUCAAUAUUUGUGAGCAGAGUCGAAUAUAAUUGGGGACAGCUUGCGAUGCGGUCAACAGUUCGCACAUUCAUCAGCUUAGAGGAGACUUCACGGUUCGGUUAGGAUUCGCGUAUUUCCAUCGUAAUGCUUCGUAGCUCCGGAAAUUCGGUUCAUUCCAUUAUCAAAUGCACCAGCGAAAGAAAAGCGGUGUCGAUACGACACAUAGGACUUACCGGAUUUAAACUUCGACUGUAAAUAGAUUUGCGUUGUGUGGUCGUUGGAAGGAGUUGAAGGCGGUGGCGUCGCGUAUCGAAGCAUCGCGUUCAUCAUCGACGACGUCUCAGAACUCGUGAUGCUUGUGACGUGCCGCAACCAUAUGAUGCACGUUGUUCAAUCCUCAAUCACGCGCAAAUAGAAGCAGAGAACGAAAAGUGUCAUGAUUGAACAGGAUGAAGUAUUGCAGCACCAAUUUGGAUUGCGGGAUGAAAGUGAAGGUAAAGAAAAAUGUGAAGCAGGAAGAGGAAGAUUGAAGAGUGAAGAAAGAAAAGAAAAAAAAUGAAGAUUGAAGUUCUUGAAGAGAAAAGUGCAGAAUGGAGAACCAGCCCCAAACACAGUGCAGGAUGUUUUUGUUUGGAAAUAUUUGUGAACUCAUUUGCUCGCAAUUGGCUUGAAGAAUGGAAAAUCUUUUGGAUGGUUCGGACUUGCAAAUCAAAUUAGUCUUGUCGCACAUUGCUUGAGCCGCUGUCAGUGUUGCUGUCAUUGUUGUUGGCUGCAGAAUCUGGGCAUUGUUAUCACUAUUGUGUUAAUUAUAUAGGUUGAAUCUUGAAUUUAAAGUUGGGUUAAUUAUGUUAAAACCAAACUAUUAUGAACUGUUAGAAUGCUAGUUGUGGUUUCAAUUGACAUGUUGUUAUUGUGACAGGUUGGGAGUUUGGUGCUGGGCGAUUAUGCUCGACGAAAAGAUGGCGUGCAGACUGGCCAGGGGUAACUUUUGUUGAAUUGCUUCCCACUAAUUCGUCCUCUAGAUCAGUGAAGAGAGCCCUAUUUUCAACACCGCUAAGCGACACUUAGCAAGCUUUCAGAGCAGUAUCAACGAUUGCCUUUUGACGGUACAAUUCGGAUGAUUACAUCGACGUGCAACAUGGGACAAACGGCCUGGUUCCUGUAAGCGCGAACAGGAGGUUCAGCAGCAGGUCCUCCUGCAAGCAGCUUAGACACAGAGACAAAGGAUCCGCAUUGAGAAAUUUCCGUGUAAAUGGUGCAACUUACCUUCUUAGGAAUUAGAGGCACCCGACAUUUCUUAGGAACCUGUACUCCUAAAACACCAACUAUCACAUUUGUCAAGGGAUCCAUUUGCUAUUAUGUUUUAUUUUGUCAAUAGAUUUUACUUAUACUAAAUCUCAGCUUAUGAUGCUCCCAUUGAUGCACCGACAAAUUCCACUGUAUUUUAAUGAUUCAUCUUUGAAACGGUAACUGGACCCUUCUUUUCCAAGGAGUCAGUCAUCAGUUUAAUUAUAGAGACAAAAGAAAAUGUCAGUAGUAUUUCAUUGGCAUUUCUAAUAUUUAGCCCUUGUAUUA